CCUGCGCAACGUUAAUCGACGCAGGGUUAGUCGGUUCCUAAGGCGAGGCUGAAAAGCGUAGUCGAUGGGAAACAGGUUAAUAUUCCUGUACUUCUGGUUACUGCGAUGGAGGGACGGAGAAGGCUAGGCCAGCUUGGCGUUGGUUGUCCAAGUUUAAGGUGGUAGGCUGAAAUCUUAGGUAAAUCCGGGGUUUCAAGGCCGAGAGCUGAUGACGAGUCGUCUUUUAGAUGACGAAGUGGUUGAUGCCAUGCUUCCAAGAAAAGCUUCUAAGCUUCAGGUAACCAGGAACCGUACCCCAAACCGACACAGGUGGUCGGGUAGAGAAUACCAAGGCGCUUGAGAGAACUCGGGUGAAGGAACUAGGCAAAAUGGCACCGUAGCUUCGGGAGAAGGUGCGCCGGCUAGGGUGAAGGAUUUACUCCGUAAGCUCUGGCUGGUCGAAGAUACCAGGCCGCUGCGACUGUUUAUUAAAAACACAGCACUCUGCAAACACGAAAGUGGACGUAUAGGGUGUGACGCCUGCCCGGUGCCGGAAGGUUAAUUGAUGGGGUUAGCGCAAGCGAAGCUCUUGAUCGAAGCCCCGGUAAACGGCGGCCGUAACGAUAACGGUCCUAAGGUAGCGAAAUUCCUUGUCGGGUAAGUUCCGACCUGCACGAAUGGCGUAACGAUGGCGGCGCUGUCUCCACCCGAGACUCAGUGAAAUUGAAAUCGCUGUGAAGAUGCUGUGUAUCCGCGGCUAGACGGAAAGACCCCGUGAACCUUUACUGUAGCUUUGCACUGGACUUUGAGCCUGCUUGUGUAGGAUAGGUGGGAGGCUUUGAAGCGUGGACGCCAGUUCGCGUGGAGCCAUCCUUGAAAUACCACCCUGGCAUGCUUGAGGUUCUAACUCUGGUCCGUAAUCCGGAUCGAGGACAGUGUAUGGUGGGCAGUUUGACUGGGGCGGUCUCCUCCUAAAGAGUAACGGAGGAGUACGAAGGUGCGCUCAGACCGGUCGGAAAUCGGUCGCAGAGUAUAAAGGCAAAAGCGCGCUUGACUGCCAGACAGACACGUCGAGCAGGUACGAAAGUAGGUCUUAGUGAUCCGGUGGUUCUGUAUGGAAGGGCCAUCGCUCAACGGAUAAAAGGUACUCCGGGGAUAACAGGCUGAUACCGCCCAAGAGUUCAUAUCGACGGCGGUGUUUGGCACCUCGAUGUCGGCUCAUCACAUCCUGGGGCUGAAGCCGGUCCCAAGGGUAUGGCUGUUCGCCAUUUAAAGUGGUACGCGAGCUGGGUUUAGAACGUCGUGAGACAGUUCGGUCCCUAUCUGCCGUGGACGUUUGAGAUUUGAGAGGGGCUGCUCCUAGUACGAGAGGACCGGAGUGGACGAACCUCUGGUGUUCCGGUUGUCACGCCAGUGGCAUUGCCGGGUAGCUAUGUUCGGAAAAGAUAACCGCUGAAAGCAUCUAAGCGGGAAACUUGCCUCAAGAUGAGAUCUCACUGGGAACUUGAUUCCCCUGAAGGGCCGUCGAAGACUACGACGUUGAUGGGCUGGGUGUGUAAGCGUUGUGAGGCGUUGAGCUAACCAGUACUAAUUGCCCGUGAGGUUUGACC
rnacentral:rRNA from 1 species